GAGACCAGUAGUCAGGGAUGAACAGAGCUCUUUACCUGUUAUGGGAAGAGGGUAUUUUCUCUCUUCCUUCCCAUUGGAAGCAAUCCAUUCUUCUAGCAGUAAAGCUACUCUCCCAGGAGAUACCUUACCCAACAGUUGAUGAAUCAGCUUGAGAGAAUUUGAGGCACAGCUGAGGGAUAAGUACCUACUUCAUGUCCGAUUUUCCUGGGGGCAGAUUAAAAAGGGAGAAUCAAUUAAUUUGAAUCUCAUGUUACUACAAACAGUUGGAGGUCUUAAUUGGACCAGGGAAGAGCAGGUGUCCUCUCCACACAGGAUCUCCUUUCACCCAUCAUCAGUCAGGCAAGGGGCAGGAGUCCAUUUCUCAUUAGUGGCCAUUUGUCACCUUGAACCCAGCUUUGAAAGUGUCUCUUUGAACUUUAUUUGGGAUUGAUUUUCUGCAUAUGCUGAGCUGUUCCUGACAAUCUAUGAGCACCUGUUCCUCUGAAACAAACGCAUUAAAAGGAUGGUCCUGCCAGCAUUAUGGAUCCAACCUGAGACGUGAUAAAUAGGGGCAGCAUUCCCAGUUCUUCAGCUUGAUAUUGCCUGUGGUGAAACCUAAAGAAGUCUCCUUCCUUCUUCAUUCAAUCUUUGGAGAUUUAAAAUGUUCACUCAGAUGCACACAGAAGAAGCAGUGCUUCAGCUCCAAUCAGUUUCUAUCCUCUCUGGAGAUCCUGCUGGCCUUGAGGACCUCAGGCAUCAGCAAGACAACAGGAUCAAGUCAGAUACAAACAGGUCCAUUUGAGGAAAAAUUAAACAACAUGCCAACUGUGAGUUCCAGAGAAUUGAACUACAAACCAUCAGAAUUCUCUCAAUCAUGCCAACAGAAUACACAAAAAAAGACAUGUUUCUUUUGCCUAAGCUACUGAGGGGAAAGCAAAAAGGAAGGCAAAGAAAAAAAGAA